UAAAACUCAAAAUCUACAAAACAGCCCCAAUGCCCUUGAGUCAGAUGUUACUGACUCAUCACAAAAAUGUUGGUUUUCUGCCAACAGGAACUGUGUUUCAUCCCUCUGUGUUCAUCGAUGGAAUAAAUAGGAAGAAGAAAGUUACAUAUAAGUCUUUGUGUGCUUUAAAAAUUCUAUGGUAUUAGUUCUCAGAUCUGAAUUUGGUACUAUUAUCCAAUGUCCCUGCUCCACCACUUCAGGGACUAUGGGAAAGAAGUCAAGUAAGACAAGAGAUCAGACAGAAAGAGAGUCGGCCAAAGGUGGGGUUUUCCAGAAGUAGAUCCUCAACCAAAGUUAGGUACAAGGUGCUUAUUAGGGAUCAUCACCUAUGGGGGUAAAAAAAAAGACAAGAAAAGCAAGCCUGGGCAGAGAAAGAAGUAUAAGUGCUAUGUAGCCCUGACAAAUCCUUCAUCACCAGGGGAAAGCUCUGGAGAAAAACUUGUCUGUCAGUGUCCUCACUUUGCACCAAAAUGUCCAGGUCAUAAAGCCCUCAUUGGAAAGGAG
rnacentral:lncRNA from 1 species